AGAUUGAACGCUGGCGGCAUGCUUUACACAUGCAAGUCGAACGGUAACAGGCCGCAAGGUGCUGACGAGUGGCGAACGGGUGAGUAAUGUAUCGGAACGUGCCCAGUCGUGGGGGAUAACGCAGCGAAAGCUGCGCUAAUACCGCAUACGAUCUAUGGAUGAAAGCGGGGGACCGUAAGGCCUCGCGCGAUUGGAGCGGCCGAUAUCAGAUUAGGUAGUUGGUAGGGGUAAAAGCCCACCAAGGCGACGAUCCGUAGCUGGUCUGAGAGGAUGAUCAGCCACACUGGAACUGGAGACACGGUCCAGACUCCGACGGGAGCAGCAGGUGGGAAUAUUGGACAAGUGGGCGACAAGCCUGAUCCAGACCCUAGUACCGGCGGUGGGUAGAAGAACGGUCCGUUU
rnacentral:rRNA from 1 species